rnacentral:lncRNA from 1 species
UCACUUAUUUGAUAAGAGCACUUCUACACGCAGCAGAAAGAAGAGCAUUCCCAUUCAACAUAAAUGGGUCUAAAUCCAAGCUUUAUCUGUUCAUGCUUAUAUAAUCUAGAAUGAGUAUUUUACUUUCUGAGUUCCUCUCUCUUCCUCUGUAAAAUGAAGAUAAUAAACUUAAAAAGGAAACAUUGUUUUCUUUUACUAAAAGCAAAUCUAGAAACCCAUAUCCAUGGAAAAAGAAGCUUGGUGGUGAGAUGGGUAGGGGCACCAAACUGCUUUGGCAUUUCCCCCAGUUCUGUCUUUCUGUGAGGUUGUCUCAAUUUUACUACCACUGCUAACAUUUGGGAUCUUCUCAGAACUGAGUUCUAGUUAGCAGUAGUUGAAUCAGAAAUCUACAGUGUGUAAACUAGGCUUCUACAGUGCUUUUGUCUUUUCCAUAUUUGUGUCCUUUUUCUUUUUUUCCUUGUUUAGUAAAGUUAUUUAGUAAAGUCCCAUUAAAAUCAGCAGCCUAGAAAAAAAACAAAGUUCCAGUUGUGCUAAUGGAUCUAAUUUGGGAUUUCUGGCCAGGUAAAGAAUAGAGCUGGAGAUAGAGGGUAGACAUAGUAUUCAGGGCAGCAAUGUUAAUGAGCGAUGCCUAAGAAACUUCAGGGAACAGAGUUGAAUUAUUUGGUUAGGCGUGAUUUCCUACUAGGAAGAGUACCAAGGUGGUUGUUACAGGGACUGGAUAUAACAAUAGAUAUCAAAGUGUUCAGUAUUGUAACAUGGCACAUCCUUUUGAAGCAUUUUGACAAGUAUAAACAUGAUAAAAUUAGAUAUUUUAAAAACUUUUUUAAGAAACCAAAUUCUACUAGAAAAAGGGAGAAUAAUAUGAUUAUUUAAAAAUUAUACUCAGUAAUUCCAUCCAUCCAGUUCAAGACAUAUAAUGUAAUAUAAUCAUAUAACUUUUUUAUGAAGUCUGUGGUAAGGAUAAUGAUCCCUGUUUUACUAGAGGCAAAAAGACAUUAUGUGCAUAUUUCCAAAUCAUAGGUAGAGUUUAAAUCAGGACUGAAAACUUUCAGUUUCUAUACAUAAUCAAUGCUCAAUGAAACUUGUUGCAUGAAUUAAUGUUGUUGGUUGAAUUUUACUGCUCCCUAAAAUAUGUCACAUUUCAUAAUUUUUAAGUCUCAGAGAAAUCUGUUUAUACUCAUUGCAAGACAAUAAAGAAAAAUACUUCUGUAAAUAGUGUUAAAUGACUCCUUCUGGCUGGUGGAAUCAGGGAAAAGGGAAUUGUAGUCACCAAUUUAUUUCCUGAUUCAGAAAAUGACUCACUAUGUAACUUUGUGAACGUUGCUUAACCUUUUAGCAUUCCAGUUUCCACAGCUGAAAAACAGGGAUAAUAUUUGUCCACCUUACAAUGGUAAAUGCUCUAGAAAUAAAAAAAAAAUUAAUCUCAUAUCAAGGGACAGUAAAGCUGGUUUUUCAUGUACUUGAGAUAUCACUGACACAUUCACAAAACAGUUUCUGCCAAAAUUGUAUGGUUAAUGCUUCCCGAUCACCUCCCUAAACACCACAUUGUGCACUGAACUCUUUUUAUCCUGCCCUGAAUCAGAAUGGUAAUUGCCGUGGGGUGUGUUCAACAUGACUGAUGAGGCACAUCACGCAGCCUGUAUCACCCGCCUGUGCCAGAGUGCUUUCUGCAUGGUUGUCAAGGAAGACAAAACUCAACAGAAGGAGAAAGAUCCAUACUGUGGGAAUAAACUUUCUCUUUGAAUUUUGAUUCUGGAAAACCAACUAAAAUUAUGAAUGAGCCAAUUUCAUUUGCAGUCUUCCUGCCAUAAUAUACAACUGUUCUGUUUCCCUCAGAUUCUGGAUUCCAUAAUUUAGGAAUAAGAUGUGCAAGUCCUCUCUUGUGCUUUGCUUAUUUUCUUCUUCCCCUGCUUAUAAAUUUGGUUUUCUUUUGUUUUUAAAGAACAGUUAUUGGGGCACCAGGGUGGCUCUGUCAGUUGAGCAUCUGACUCUUGAUUUAGGCUCAGGUCAUGAUCCCAGGGUCUUGGGAUUGAGCCCUGCAUCAGGCUCUGCACUGAGUGUGGAGCCUGCCUGAGAUUCUCUCUCUCCCUUUGCCCCAUCCCUUGCUCGUGCUCUCUCUCUUUCUAAAAUAAAAUAAAAAAAUUAAAGAACAGAUAUUUAUGAUAGCUAGCUCAGGAUCUUGCAGUAUCUGUUGCUUGACAUACCAAUAUCUUUACCCAUUAUUUUCUCAGCCUGCAGUAACUGCAGUUCAUUAAAGUCCCUGUGUCCCUUCAAACUUUUCUUCUUAAUCAUCUAUUGCUUAUAUGGAGUUUUACCUUUAAGUGAGAAAUCCCAAUAUACCUUAACUAGAUAAAGAAUCUUGGUGAUUACCACAAAGAGAUAAUGAGCAGACAGUAUCAAACCUCAUUAACUUUCUACUCUGACAAAAGUCCUCCUGUAUAGAGAUAUGGAAUUGACACCAAAAAGAGGUGUAUAGAAUAGGUAUAGAAUUGAUGGGGGGAAAAAAAAGCCAAUGGGGUUGUCAAACACAACUGAUCAAAACCGGGCUUCAAAUUGAAAAGUAGUGGAAGGGGCACCUGGGUGGCUCAGUUAGUUAAGUGUCUGACUCGAUUUCGGCUCAGGUUUAUGAGUUUGAGCUCCGCAUCGGUCUCUGCACUGACAGUGAGGAGCCUGCUUGGGAUUCUCUCUCUCUCUCUCUCUCUCUCUCUCUCUCUCCCCCUCUCUCUCUCUGCCCCUCCCCUGUUUGUGUUCUAUCUCUGUCUCUCAAAAUAAAUUAACUAAUUAAAAAAAAAGAAAUGAAAGAAAAGUAGUUGACAGAGAGAAGGCUGUUGUUUAGAAAAUAAUUAAGAUUUUACAUUACAAAAACAGACUUUUCCAAAUGUAAACACUUUGAGAGGGGAUAAAAAAAUAAAGUGACUUUCUCAAGUAUCAUGUGCCCAUUACACAAAGUAAGAUUUUCUGAUUUUGUAUCGAGCUGUGAUUUAACGCUGUUUCUUUCAGUGCACCGUGACUCACCUCCUCUGUAAAACUAGAUUUGGAGUUUGAAAAUUUGGUUUCACAGCCCUCCGCUGCACAUCAGAGCAGGGUCAUUAGUGUUCACAUUUAUGUGUCCAGAAGUAUGGAUAUCUGACCAUAAGUACUAAAUCCAUAAAAUGGAUGGUCAUUGUAUAUUGGGCACACUGUCAAGAUGUUUAGAUGUUGUUAACAUGAUACAACUUACCCAGAAAACUUAGACCAAGCUUCAAGUGCAAUGUUGUUCCAUGCCAGUAUUUCCCAACCUGUUUUCUUUAAAAUGUGUGAGAUAUUGUUUGUACUGCUAAAACAUUUCAUGUUUGAGAAUAGCUGCUUGCUACAUAUACACCUCUUGGAAAUUCAUAAUAUACAUUAGCCUAUUAAAUAAUCCAAAAUUUUGUCGAAGGCAGUAAAUUUAACUCAGCCCUCUUCAGAAUCACUUGACCAAGGACCAUCUUUUAUAUUUUUAUUUUUCUGGGAAUGUCUAAUAGAAUCUCUCAGACCCUCUGACACAGUUUGGCAAAUUAUAUUUUAUACUUGAGUUUUCAAUCCCCUUAAGGUGGGAUUGAACUUUCAUCAGUGAUUCCUUCAACACAUUCCAAACUGUAUAUGUAAAUUUUAAAUACAACUAACUUCCCUAUUAGCAGAGACCUAGUUUAGGUGUGACCUGGGAAAGGAUUAACUACAAUUCCUUUUUCUUCUGAAUCUUCCUUUAUAGAAUUUGUGGGCAAGCAGCUUCCUCGUUUUGACGGUGAGCAAGCACAAAGUAUUUGUUUAAUUGAAUCAGGGUAUACCAGUAUCAGAAACUUCCAUUUCCUCCAAAUAAGGGGCAAAAAGAAAAAGUGAGCUAAAUUAUCUUUUCCUUCACUUUUACAUAUUCUGUUUAAAGACUAUCUGCCAAAGACAAAAAGACAUGUUGAGGUGUUUUAUCUGCUUAUCAUGUUUAUUUGCCAAUCCCUGUGCUUUGAAUGCUGAAUGGGCCCAACCAGGCAGGUGUCUCUGGAGAUGUGAAUUAACAGUGAAUUUAGGUAGCAGAAGCUGGAAUGAGGUCUAGCAAUUCUCUUAAAAAAAUAAAAAGAAAAGUACAUAAAGUUCAUACACAUUAGCAUGUGUUGUUUUUCUUCUCCCUACCCCUUCCCCCACUCCAGGCUCUCCCUUUUGAGAAUAACUGGAGUUUCUCUUUUAGUUUUGCUGUUAAGAAUGAUUUUGCUUUCACUUUUUCAGAUAGGAUCAUAGAAUCAUAGAAUCUCAAAAGUCCAAUUUCACAUAAAUUUUCUUCGUCCAAACUCAUACCCUUCCUUCCAAGGAUGUAUGUACUUUAUUACAGAAAAGUAAAAAAGAAGAUGAGUCUCAUGUAUUUUGGAGAUCUCUUCAGUCGAGUACUGACAUUCUCAAGUAUUUCAGUCCCUAUUUUAAAGCUGGAGGAUAGAACAUGGAGACGAAGAGACUUAUGCAUUGUCACAUAGUGAGUCAUCAACAUCCCAGGAAGAAGGAACCAUUUUCUCUAUCCAUUACCCAAACUUUUUUUUCUUUUCUGUUUUUGCUGUGAACUUUGUAUCCAUUGUCAAAUAUGUUUAGAUGAGUUAGAGAAACACACACACACACACACACACACACACACACACACACCUACAUUUACAACAUUGCAGCAUUAUCCUUGAAUUUUUUUAAACAUUCAAUUAGCAUUUGUACCAGGUCAAUGCUAGUUUCCCUGUUAUGCAAACCCACACCCAUACUAAGAUACUCUAGGUUAGGAACACAGUGAUAAUAUGACUACUUGGUUUCGGUGUUUGCACAUAAGAAGCCCCAGGUUAUUUCUAGAAAAAAAUGAAAGAUUCCGAGGACAGUCUCACCAAUGAAAAUGACCGCCCUCUGUCUCUCUGUCUCUCUCUCUCUCUCCAUCUCUCUCUCUCUCUCUCUCUCUCUCUCUCUGAUAAAGAAAAAAAGCAACUAUGAUAAAGGGGAAAGGGAAUGUGGAAUUACGGAAUAUCAAAAAUAGACAAUGAAUUAAUUCUCCAUUAAGUCAAGAAAGUUGUAAAGCUAAGUUUGGGGUGCACUGAAUAAGUGGCUUCAUGAGAAUUCUGGGUGCUUAGGAAGAGGGAGUAACUGAGAUUAAGAGACAGCAUCUCCAUGACAGCUAGGACAACUCUUCCCCUUGAAAUUUAGAUGAUGCUUGUGCAAACUCCCACAAUUUCAAGGCUUGUCUACUUUCAGGACUGCUCCUGUAAUUUCCGUGGUGCAAAUGCUACCAAGAGGUCCUUUGCUUCUGGGCUCUUGCGACCCUACUAUGGCCCUUACUGAGCACAGAGAUGAUUAUCAACCCUUCCCAGAUUUCCACCAAACACCUCCUCUCAUACGAGAUGUAUGUAUGGAUGGGACCCAGCAUCUGUAUGUGGAUGGGGAGGGGUUUAAUAAAGUUUACACUGAAGCAAUACAAAUACUUCCAAAUAAAAUUUUAAGUAGCCCCAUUCUUAAAUACUCAAAUAUCUUUUGAUAUUUCUCCCCUGAGUCCCACCCCACCCUGGAAAUCAGGAGGGCAUUUUGACUUGCCCUUUUAGCCUUGUAGUUCCCAGACACUGUGUCACUCUUUCCCUUUUCUGCACCAAUCUCACCCUACUACCCACCCCCUUCUCAUAAGCAAUAACAACUACUUUUCACUUCCUCAAGCUGAGGGGUAGAGCCUUCUCUUAGAUGCCCACCCACCCCCUCACAGCCUCACUUUCUAUUCCAAGCAGCUGAUGAUGGGUUUUCCCUGAACAGUAGGAUUCUGGGGCCACCUCUCUACAGAUGGAAUUUCACCCAUAUCACAGUUUUGCCCAGGGCCACUUGCUGUUUCUUCUCUCUCAGAGGCAAUGCUACUUAAAGACUAGUUUUGUGAAAAGUUAUUCAUCAAAUUCAGGUGUUCAGUUAGAGUGAGACUUCUCCUAAAAUUUUGAAGUUCUGUUGAAUUAGAUGAGAAAAUUAGGAUAAGAAAACUUGCCCCACAAGUGCAUCAAUCAUCCCCACUGAGAGCACUCACUGUCCUGUAGCAAUGUCACAAGGGGGGUUGCAAGAGAUCAGAAGCUCUGCAGCUACAUGGUCCAAGUAUGAAUUCCAGCCCCGCUCUAGCUAUGCAUCCUGGGACAAUUCCUUAAUAUCUGGGUCCCUUAGUUUCCCUAUUUAUAAAAUAGUAGAACCCACCUUGUAGUACAGACUAAAUGAAUUAACAUGUAUGGAGCAUUUUGAAAAAUACUUGGCACCUAUAAGUGUGAGCGGAUUUUGUUUUGACUUGGACAAAUGACAAAAGGCUAAGGAAGGGCUGGGCAGAGCACAGACAGCAGCAACAGAGCUCCUUUGGCAGAAGUUUUCCCCUAGGAGGUAAAAGAGAUGGUUGAUGUUACUAUUGUAAGAGCUUGGAAAACUCCACUCAGGAAUUAGUCCUGUUGGCAGGUUCUUUGGCUGUAAACUUUUGUAGGUUGAAAUCCUAAAGAAAAGCUAGGGGUCUCCCCAGCCCGAGUUUCACAUCUGGGUUUUUUUUUUUUUUUUUAAUAAACAAGGCUUUGCUUUAGGAGUGAAGGUAGACCCUACCUCUCAUAUAGUAAUCCUUUAUUUUCUGAACAAAGUGAACCAAAAAUCUUUGGAGAAAAAAAUAAAACGCAUGAAUGUAUAUGCUUAAGAGAAGUCUUCCUUACUAUCUCUCUGAAGAACACCAGUCUUAUGAUCUCAUAUCUAUACUGCCUUGCAUAUAGUACAUGCUCAGUAAUUACCAGUUGGUUUGAUUUUCAUCUUUAUUUUUUUAAUAUGAAAUUUAUUGUCAGUUGGUUUCCAUACAACACCUAGUGUUAAUCCCAACAGGUGCCCUCCUCAAUACCCAUCAUCUACCCUUCCUUCCCUCCCACCCCCCAUCAACCUUCAGUUUAUUCUCAGUUUUUAAGAGUCUCUUAUGGUUUGUGAUUUUCAUCUUUAAAAAACAAAACAAAACUGGAAGACCUGUUUUAAACACCUGUUUGAAAAGACUGACAACUUCCACACAGGCUUAGCAGCAGCAGCAGCAACAACAGCAAUUUAUCAACGUUUAUUUAUUUAUUUAUUUUUUUUGGGACAGAGAGAAACAGAGCAUGAACGGGGGAGGGGCAGAGAGAGAGGGAGACACAGCAUCGGAAACAGGCUCCAGGCUCCGAGCCAUCAGCCCAGAGCCUGAUGCGGGGCUCGAACUCACAGACCGCGAGAUCGUGACCUGGCUGAUGUCGGACGCUUAACCGACUGCGCCACCCAGGCGCCCCAACAACAGCAAUUUAGAUAAGUUUUCCAUCCAAUUCUGGAGAGACUUAAUCACUUGGGUUUGUAUGUUAAUUUGCUGCACUUCUAACCACACAGGAGCUCCAGAUCUGGGAGUAGCCAGUGAGAAAAGAGUAUACGUGUUCUCAUUUUCAAGUGUCCUAGGAUAAAUUGUAUUCUCUUCAUUGGUGCCAGAAAAAAAUCAAUACAGACAAUAACAGUAAAAAUAUUCAUUAUUUGUGAAGGAGAAAGAGGCAAAACAAAACAAAAUAAAACAAAUACAACACUGGGGCACCACAGACAGUCAGCCUACCAGGAGUACCCUUUGUACAAAACAUAUGAAAUAUCCCCUCAAAUUGUUCAAAAGGUGGCCUGGAAGAAUACCUUUGGUGUCUAAAAUUUUAAGUGAUUUACUUUAUGGUCACAGACAGUUCAUUCAUUUUUCUGUAUCUCAUUGUUUACCUGGAGUGAUCACAUUUAAAAUGAUAAGAACCAAAAUGUUUUAGUACUUACUAUGUGUCCAGCAUAGUCUAAGCAGUCAUGCAUAUUAACUCAUUUUAUUUUUACAAAAACUCCAUUAGAUAAGUAUUCUUUUGCCCAUUUUACAAAUGAGGAAACUCAAUCCCCACCCCACCCCCCCAAAAAAAAGAAAACUUGCACAAGGUUAUGCAAGCAGUAAGUAGUGGAGCUAGGGUUCAGAUGGAUUUGGCCAGUUCCAGAGACUGAGGUGCUACAAUACUACCUAAUUUAUCAGGCCCUAGGGCACCAUGGUAUUCAUGGCCAUUGUAGUUGAGGCAACAUUUCCUAGUUGGGUGGACUGAGCAUGAGUUUUUUUGGUUAGGAUUUUAGGAGAGUAAUUCAAGGGAGUCCUCUAUCCCCAAGGACCAUGGAGAUAUCUGACCAUUACAGAGACCUUCAAAAGGCCACUCGUUAAACAAAUUCAGAAAAACUAUAUGUUAAAUCUUCUUAUCAUCUGACUGGGCAUUCUAGAAAACCAGAGAGCCAUAAAGUGUUUCUAUGUAAGUGCUGAAAGUUGGGGAUUCUCUUAAAGACUGGAGGGCCUCUUGUUCCCAGUACAAAAAAAGUGAGGCAAAGUCUAUAUGGUUUUAUUCAGAUAGGAAGGUGCAGGUUGAUUUCAUACUCCAUCAGCAGCCCUCAUUUACACCCUAGAUUUUAAGGCAUCAUACUCCAUGUCUCAUUUCCCAUGUCCCAUUUGUGGAGCAAUUAGAAAAACUCUCCAUCGUUGUUGGGUGCUUUGAAAUUCUCAGUUGGAUGCUUCUUUGUGAAUGUAAGGCAGUCAUUUUAUUUUAAAGCCAUUUGAUUGUUCCCAGAUCAGCAACUCUGUUCCAUGACAAAAUCUUUGACUGCUACUUGUUUUCUUUGAAAAGAGUAAUUUCCAAAAGAAAGUAGGUAAAGAAGUUAUUACAAGAGCAUAUAAAAUAUUAGGGAUUGUGUGAUGGUUACUUGUAAGCAAAAGGAAUAGGAAAAACAAGGAAGAAAAGAAAGGGAGAUUUUAGUUUUCUAAAAAACUAACAAAGUCCCACUUUAGUCUGGGAGUAUCCGGUCAGAGUAGUUCUGAAAGGAUUACCUGGCCCUCAGCUCUUGGGAAUUCUUAGCUCCAUGGUGUUUGUUUUUGUCUCCCAACAGAGGUGUGGUAUGAAGGGGUCAUGUAGAAGGUGAGCAAGAUGUUAAAUGCUCCAUUUCCUCACUGUGAAGGAACACUGCUGUCAAGCCAGGUGAGCUGAAAUAACUGGAUAUGCUUCUUCAUGGAGCUAGUGUUCUUAGCAAACACUUCCUCAACAAUUCUUAUUCCCUGACUUGAGCAUUCUUUGCCACUACCAAUUACAGGAAUAUGGAGGUAGUCAAAACACCUUUAGGAAUGCCUGGGUGGCUCACCUGGUUAAACAUCUGACUUCAGAUCGACUUUGGCUCAGGUCAUGAUCUCACAGUUCCUGAGUUUGAGCCCUGCAUUGGGCUCUGCGCCUGCUUUGGGUCCUCUGUCUCCCUUUCUCUGACCCUCCCUCACUCGUGCUCUCUCUCUCAAAAAUAAAUAAACAUUAAAAAAAAAAAAAAAACUCCAAAAAAGAAAUUGGCAAAGAAAUAGAAUAUUAUUUUCUGUUUUCUAUAAAAGAGGUCUUUCAUACUACACUAUCACUACUUGAAUGAGUUAGACAUUUGUAACCUGAUCUAAUAAAGAAAUAACUUAGAUGA